AUAACGACUCUCGGCAACGGAUAUCUCGGCUCUCGCAUCGAUGAAGAACGUAGCGAAAUGCGAUACUUGGUGUGAAUUGCAGAAUCCCGUGAACCAUCGAGUCUUUGAACGCAAGUUGCGCCCGAAGCCACCAGGUUGAGGGCACGUCUGCCUGGGCGUCACG
rnacentral:rRNA from 1 species